AAAAUGAGUUUUUAGUCCAAUUUUGAGAAUAUCAGUACAAUGCAGGAUUUUCAGAUUGGUUACUGAAAUUACUCCCAAAUAUGAAAAGUAUUAUGAUACUUAGUCUUCUUUGAACUCCUAGGUUUUAAAUGCUUUGCACAAUUAUUGAUAGCUAUUCUAGUUCCUCAGGGUCGUUCUUAUUUCUUCUGCUGUCAACUUUCAAGCAUCAGUCGCAUAUCUUUUUCCAGAUACACUUGAACAUGAACUUUUUAUGUUUUAGCAAAUAUGUGGUUUUUAGUAUUUAAAUUUUGUGGCUCUCAUAUUAUUGCAGUACCAAGCAGUAUAAAAAAAUAACUAAAAUUAUCUUCUAAAAAGUUUGUUAAUUAGGGACCUUCUCAGUGGAACCAUGUAGAACACAUCGGUGGGCGUACAUUCGAGCCAAGUGCUUAAAACCAUUUAAACGCGGAGUACUUGUAUGCAAUCCAGUAUGUACUUGACCUAGCCAGCUUGCUACCAUACCUUCAUCUAAUAUAGAUUUUUCAUGUUUCUUCCCUCUCGAGGGUCAUUUACUUUGCCUAUUA
rnacentral:lncRNA from 1 species